rnacentral:rRNA from 1 species
UGGGGAAUAUUGGGCAAUGGGCGGAAGCCUGACCCAGCAACGCCGCGUGAAGGAAGAAGGCCCUCGGGUUGUAAACUUCUUUUAACAGGGACGAAGGAAGUGACGGUACCUGUUGAAUAAGCCACGGCUAACUACGUGCCAGCAGCCGCGGUAAUACGUAGGUGGCAAGCGUUAUCCGGAUUUACUGGGUGUAAAGGGCGUGUAGGCGGGACUGCAAGUCAGAUGUGAAAUUCCAGGGCUCAACCCUGGACCUGCAUUUGAAACUGUAGUUCUUGAGUGAUGGAGAGGCAGGCGGAAUUCCGUGUGUAGCGGUGAAAUGCGUAGAUAUACGGAGGAACACCAGUGGCGAAGGCGGCCUGCUGGACAUUAACUGACGCUGAGGCGCGAAAGCGUGGGGAGCAAACAGGAUUAGAUACC